rnacentral:rRNA from 1 species
UACGUAGGGGGCAAGCGUUGUCCGGAUUUAUUGGGCGUAAAGAGCGUGUAGGCGGCUUGGUAGGUCCGCUGUGAAAACUCGAGGCUCAACCUCGAGAUGUCGGCGGAAACCACUUGGCUAGAGUCCGGAAGAGGAGAGUGGAAUUCCUGGUGUAGCGGUGAAAUGCGCAGAUAUCAGGAAGAACACCUAUGGCGAAGGCAGCUCUCUGGGACGGUACUGACGCUGAGACGCGAAAGCGUGGGGGGCAAACAGG